rnacentral:lncRNA from 1 species
CUGAGAUAAUGAAAAUAAUAAUCAAUAAAAACUGAGGGAACUCAGAGACCGGUGCUGGUGCAUGUCCUUGGUAUGCUGAGAGCCAGUCCCCUGGCCCCACUUUUCUUUCUCUAUACUUUGUCUCUGAGUCUUAUUUUUUUUCUCAGUCUCUCAUCCCAUCUGACGAGAUAUACCCACAGGUGUGGAGGAGCAGGCCACCCCUUCAUCUGCCACCCAAUGUGGGUGCCUUUCUCUAGGAUGAAGGUAUGCUAAGAAUGUGAGCAUUGAGGACAGUCGAGAGAUUCCUGAGUACAUCCACCAUCAGCCUUGCGACAUUUGAAAUUCUACAAUGAACCCAUCAGAGAUGCAAAGAAAAGUGCCUCCGUGGAGAUGGAAAACCCGCAAUGGAGCACCAUCGACUCGCCAGGUGAACAAAAUGGUGAUAUCAGAAGAACAGAUGAAGUUGCCAUCCACCAAGAAAGUGGAGCUGCUGACCUGGGCCCAGCUAAAGAAGCUGACACAGUUAGCUGAAAAAAAGCCUGAAGAAUACAAGGUUAACACAAACUCCAGAGAAUAUGCUGCUUGCAGCUUUAAUGAUUGUACCAACGGUGUCUACAGGUGUAUCCAGCAGCUCUGGAGAGACAGUGACCAGUGAGAAUGGACCAUGAUGACCAUGGCAGUUUUGUCAAAAAGAAAAGGGGGAUAUGUAGGGAAAAGAGAGAUCAGACUGUUACUGUGUCUAUGU